rnacentral:rRNA from 1 species
UACGUAGGGUGCAAGCGUUGUCCGGAAUUAUUGGGCGUAAAGAGCUCGUAGGCGGUUUGUCGCGUCUGCCGUGAAAGUCCGGGGCUCAACUCCGGAUCUGCGGUGGGUACGGGCAGACUAGAGUGAUGUAGGGGAGACUGGAAUUCCUGGUGUAGCGGUGAAAUGCGCAGAUAUCAGGAGGAACACCGAUGGCGAAGGCAGGUCUCUGGGCAUUAACUGACGCUGAGGGGCGAAAGCAUGGGGAGCGAACAGG